AUUAGAUAAACCUGAUGAGGUAGAGCUAUAACCUAGUCGAGUCCAAAAACCUAAAUAUUAUGGAUCUAGUUGUAACCAUCUCCAUUUCCGACAGGGCUAUCCACAUAAGUAUUUGGAAAAUUCUCAUCGAAUCAACUAUAAAGCCUAAAUUGAAAUGGAACGUAGAGCCCCCAAGCUGGAAAUAUAUUUCUACAAUGUUCGUAAGAAUUUACAAGGCACAAAAAGUAAUUAAAGGUACUUCAUUUCACCAGAAAACUUCAUCUUUGUAAAAGAUAAACAGGCAUCAGGAGGCAGGACAUAUUUAAAAUGUCAAGAUCCAUUAUGCUCUGCCAGAAUUAUAAUGCAGGAGGGUCGGCAAUGGAUUUUGAGAGCGGAGCAUAACCAUUUGGUCGAUUUGAUCCUGCUUCAAGAUAUUCGGCUAAAAAAUAUCUUAGCAUUCAGAAGCAGGACCGAAACAUCAACUCUCCAUCAAAUAUUCAUGGAGGAAGAGAUUCGCCGCAAUGAAGCAUGACUGAGGCUAACAAAUGGAUUUGAUACUGUUAAACCGAUGAUGCAGCAGGAAAGGAGGAAAGUCCAACCUCCCAUACCAGCUACAUUGGAGGAUGCUGCUGGCUAUUUGGCAAAUGCCAUCUUAUCGGAAAUAUUCAUGGGAACUGGGGCCACAACAGAGACCAUUCUCUGAUGGCAUCAGGGAUGGAUGUCUCUUUUUUGUGUCUCAGGGGGGCACUUGCACAUGGACGCGACCUUCAAAAUUGUGCCCAUAUCACCUAUGUCUUUUGUG